rnacentral:rRNA from 1 species
CGGACAGUGUCUGGUGGGUAGUUUGACUGGGGCGGUCUCCUCCUAAAGAGUAACGGAGGAGCACGAAGGUUGGCUAAUCCUGGUCGGACAUCAGGAGGUUAGUGCAAUGGCAUAAGCCAGCUUGACUGCGAGCGUGACGGCGCGAGCAGGUGCGAAAGCAGGUCAUAGUGAUCCGGUGGUUCUGAAUGGAAGGGCCAUCGCUCAACGGAUAAAAGGUACUCCGGGGAUAACAGGCUGAUACCGCCCAAGAGUUCAUAUCGACGGCGGUGUUUGGCACCUCGAUGUCGGCUCAUCACAUCCUGGGGCUGAAGUAGGUCCCAAGGGUAUGGCUGUUCGCCAUUUAAAGUGGUACGCGAGCUGGGUUUAGAACGUCGUGAGACAGUUCGGUCCCUAUCUGCCGUGGGCGCUGGAGAACUGAGGGGGGCUGCUCCUAGUACGA